rnacentral:rRNA from 1 species
GACGAACCGUGCGAACGUUGUUCGGAAUCACUGGGCUUAAAGGGCGCGUAGGCGGCCCGCCGCGUCCGGGGUGAAAUCCUCCCGCUCAACGGGAGAACGGCCUCGGAUACGGGCGGGCUGGAGGGGGGUAGGGGCAGGCGGAACUGUGGGUGGAGCGGUGAAAUGCGUUGAGAUCCACAGGAACUCCGGUGGCGAAGGCGGCCUGCUGGACCCCACCUGACGCUGAGGCGCGAAAGCGUGGGGAGCAAACAGG